rnacentral:rRNA from 1 species
UACGUAGGGGGCAAGCGUUGUCCGGAUUUAUUGGGCGUAAAGAGCGUGUAGGCGGCCAGGUAGGUCUGCUGUGAAAACUCGAGGCUCAACCUCGAGACGCCGGUGGAAACCGUAAAGCUAGAGUCCGGAAGAGGCGAGUGGAAUUCCUGGUGUAGCGGUGGAAUGCGCAGAUAUCAGGAGGAACACCAAUAGCGAAGGCAGCUCGCUGGGACGGUACUGACGCUAAGGCGCGAAAGCGUGGGGAGCGAACAGG